rnacentral:rRNA from 1 species
UACGAAGGGUGCAAGCGUUGCUCGGAAUUACUGGGCGUAAAGCGUACGCAGGCGGUCCAUCAAGUCAGGCGUGAAAGUCCGGGGCUCAACUCCGGGAGGUCGUCUGAAACUAUUGGACUUGAAUCCGGGAGAGGGAUGUGGAAUUCCAGGUGUAGCGGUGAAAUGCGUAGAUAUCUGGAGGAACACCGGUGGCGAAGGCGACAUCCUGGACCGGUAUUGACGCUGAGGCGCGAAAGCCAGGGGAGCAAACGGG